ACACCCAAUGCUGCGUCGUUUCAAGAGCGGCUAACAAAACGUCCGCGCCCACCUGACAGCUGCGCGCCACGUUUUGUCAGCC
rnacentral:sRNA from 1 species